UACGAAGGGUGCAAGCGUUAAUCGGAAUUACUGGGCGUAAAGCGCGCGUAGGUGGUUCAGUAAGUUGGAAGUGAAAUCCCCGGGCUCAACCUGGGAACUGCUUUCAAAACUGCUGAGCUAGAGUACGGUAGAGGGUGGUGGAAUUUCCUGUGUAGCGGUGAAAUGCGUAGAUAUAGGAAGGAACAACAGUGGCGAAGGCGACCACCUGGACUGAUACUGACACUGAGGUGCGAAAGCGUGGGGAGCAAACAGG
rnacentral:rRNA from 1 species